CCUACGGGAGGCAGCAGUGGGGAAUAUUGGACAAUGGGCGCAAGCCUGAUCCAGCAACGCCGCGUGAAUGAAGAAGGCUUUCGGGAUGUAAAGCUCUAUCCGCAGGGAAGAAAAUGACGGUACCUGACUCAGAAGCCCCGGCUAACUACGGGCCAGCAGCCGCAGUAAUACGUAGGGGGCAAGCGUUAUCCGGAUUUACUGGGUGUAAAGGGAGCGUAGACGGUUAGGCAAGUCUGAAGUGAAAGCCCAAGGCUCAACCAUGGGACUGCUUUUGAAACUGUAAAACUGGAGUGCAGGAGAGGUAGGCGGAAUUCCUAGUGUAGCGGUGAAAUGCGUAGAUAUUAGGAGGAACACCAGUGGCGAAGGCGGCUUACUGGACUGCAACUGACGUUGAGGCUCGAAGGCGUGGGGAGCAAACAGGAUUAGAUACCCCUGUAGUC
rnacentral:rRNA from 1 species